rnacentral:rRNA from 1 species
UACGGGGGGAGCAAGCGUUGUUCGGAUUUACUGGGCGUAAAGGGCGCGUAGGCGGUCAGCACAAGUCAGUUGUGAAAUCUCCGGGCUUAACUCGGAAAGGUCAACUGAUACUGUGCGACUAGAGUGCGGAAGGGGCAACUGGAAUUCUUGGUGUAGCGGUGAAAUGCGUAGAUAUCAAGAGGAACACCUGCGGCGAAGGCGGGUUGCUGGGCUGACACUGACGCUGAGGCGCGAAAGCCAGGGGAGCGAACGGG